rnacentral:sRNA from 1 species
GCUCGCUUCGUCUGAGUCACA